ensembl:snoRNA
UUGCAUCUAUUUGACAGACUAGAAUAAUUACUAUCUGCUGCUAAGGUUUCCCCUGCAGAUGCAAGAAAAAAGGGACCUUACACUUUCUGUCUGUCUGAUUGUGGCAGCCAAGAUUGAAUAGGGAAAUACAGAG